rnacentral:tRNA from 1 species
GCGCUUGUAACUCAAUUGGCAGAGUGCCUCCUUUACGCGGAGGAAGUUGGGGGUUCAAGUCCCUUCGGGCGCA